UUUAUUUCUCUUCGUGAAGUUAUGUCGCCUCCCUCAAAAUCAAUCUCAUUCACUCUCUCAAACACUGAGUCAUUCAUUACAUCUCUGAACUAAAACUGCGUCGUUGUGCCAGUAAUUCCUAUAGCUAAAAUUACCCCCAAAUCGCAUGGGGUUAGGGUUUACUAUGCAUCAAUGUUUUUCAAAUCAACAGAAGAUGGCGUAUCAGGGUUAUGCAUAACCGAUGCGUUAACGGACGACAAGCUUUGCUAGAUUCCGGCGAAAUUUGAUAACGAUAAAGACAAGGAAAUGUUCGGUUUGGUAUGUAAGUGAUGGACUCGAUUGCAGAGCACCGAAAGGAACAAGCUUGUCGAAGGCGCCGGUGCUAACUUGCUCCGAAAAAUGGCUGAUAGGUUCACACGCUUGGUUGAAUUGGAACUUGCUCUGUCUAUUUCUCAUUCAUUUUAUCCUGGGGUUAUUGAUUCGGAUCUUGCUGUUAUCGCCAAUGGUUUUAUAUGAUUGAGGAUCUCAAUUUUCAUAACUGUAAAGAAUGCAAGUGAGAAAGAAUCUGGUUCAAAAUUUCAUCUUUACUAGAUGUUGAUUUCAAGCUUUUUUGAAGAAAUUGAAGUGAAUAUUUACAUCAAAAUAAUUCAGCACCUGCCAUGAGCUACAACACAAGCCCAUUGAAACUUUGUUCUUGACAGUACAGGUUUCAAACUCUCAAUUAGUAAGGCAUUUGUUUGUUCAAUUAGUUUUACGUUUAUAGGACUCGAAAUUGAUUCAUACGCACACACAAGAUUAAAUCUGGCAGUCUCCUACUAGCUCUGUUAUUGAGAUACAAAAUUAUGCUAACAUCACAAGACAUUAUGAUCUAAAAUGUUAUUUUAUAACUAAAGUAAGUGUAUCCUUUUGUACCGAAAGAAAUAAAAAAUAGUAAAAUAGAAUAAUAGGUACACAUAUCUAGGCAUGUAUUUGAAAAAAAUUAAAAAUAUUUAAACUUGUUUUAUUUGGUACUGGCACACCCCCCCUUAAUUGUUUUCUGGCCAACCGCAGGCAAUAACAUCACAAGACAUGGUAGAAUUAAAUUCUAGAUAGAGGGAGAAUACCACUCCCAAAGACAUAAUUAUAGUGAUUGUUACUAGCAUGCAUUGAUUUGUUUCAUUCUUUCUUUUAGGGACAAUAGAUAACUAUUCAAAUUCAAACGUAUAUUAAAUUAGCUGUGAUUACAUCGAACUUGAUCAUAUUCAAAUGUAUACUUUUUAGUUGCGUAAAAAAAGGCUCAAAGACAUCAAAUUGAGACGUUCUUUCAAUGGCUUCUCUGGCGGCGGAUUCACGUCCUCAUAGACUAUAUCCAUUCAUCGAGUUUAGUGUUUAUGUUGCUUGUUUUCUUAGAUGAAGAGUCGCGAUUCUCCGGGUGUUUGGUUCCGACAAUAUCAAAGCAAAAUUGCAUCAUUUUGGAAAUAUCUCCUGCUGAUCAAGAUCUUACUACCUCAGAUGCAAUUAAGUUUACUGUGAAGUAGAGCCUAAAGGGGAUAGGAUGUUUGGAGUUUUUAUAAAGAUUGAUCUUAUGGAUAAGGGUAUUGAGGCAUCAAAAGGAACCCCUUCUACGUAUCCUCCAUCAAAUUUGUCUAUGGACACUCUUAUCAAAAGUGCAUUGAAUGGAUCUCAGGCACCAUCAAAUAUGGGAUAUAUUACACAAUAUAGCACUGAUAGACUCAAGGAUUAUGAUAAAUUAGUGAUUGGCCAUCUACAAUAGCAUUCAAACUCGAGAGUUAUUAUCUGCAGCAACAGUCAGACUUGUUGAAUUUGAACUAAAGUAGAGUUUGCUUUGCUGGUUGUUUCAAUAGUGGUUGUUCUCCCUUUCACUGCUUGAUAUGUUUUACUUGGAAUAAUCAUUAUGUUGCAGUGAGUGGUGUAUGAUUUUCUCUAAAGUUAAAACUGUGAGAAACAUGUCCUAGAUUUUGCUCUGUCAAAUUGUCAGGUUUAUGAUUUAAAUUCUGCUAUCUAGGAUUCCUUGAAUGUUGAUGUGCCUGCUCAUUUGAAAUGAUGUAAUUAUUGUUGUUUUGCUCCUUAAAAUUGAGAGAAACCAUGUGUAAAUUUUGUUCCUUUUGACUAUUGUGCUCCUUAGAAUUAAUUUAGUUAUGAAUUGAAUGUUUCUCCUUAUAAUUAAUUUUAGCUAUGAAUUAAAUGUUGCACCUGAGGAUUCCAUGAUAUUUGUUGUAGAUCCUUUGAAUAGUUGGUUUUCUCCUUAGAUACUUUUACAGCUUGUUGUUGGAUUUGUUCUGCAAAGCCGUUGUGUAGGGGCUCGUGAGAAACAACUGUUUAAAAAUAUCCAACCUGUUAAGUCGGUUACGUAUAUCUGACUUAAGAAAGAAAUCUGUUAAUUCGGGUAUAAAUGACGAUAGCAUCUUCUGAAUACCUUGACUUUUUAAGUCGGUUAAUUAUAACAAACCUAAUAACUAUUUCUUAAGUCAGGUCUAAAACCGACUUAAGAAGUCAAAACUUCUUAUGUCGGCAACUCUUAAGUCAGGCUCGGAACCGUCUUAAGAAUUCGAUUUUAACCGACUUAAAAAGUGUUUUUUCUACUAGUGAACAAGUAUCGAAUCGUCAACACGGAAAACGUUGAGAUUCAAAACAUCCUAAGAAGGAAGGAUGAGUUACUUGAAGUACUCGAUCGACAAGUGACACAAACGUCACUUUCUCAUCAUAUCCCUCCUGCUUCCUGGAUUAUCGAUCAGCUCACGUCAGAGAACGCUCAGCUCAAGAAACAGAAGAAGAUGUUAGAACGUGAAGUCGGCUCUUCAUCAAAGUUUUAGAGUCCUUUCUCUCAGUUUCUCUGUAUUUCCCUUUUCAAAGUGUGUAAAAACGGCGUUUUCGCUUAAUUAAUAAAAGUUUGAUGUUUCAUAACGUAAUUAUGGUGUUUCCUUGAAAAAAUAAUAACUUAAUUGCAUAUCAUACAUCGCUUUAGUCGUACGCACUGACACGAGAAUUGUCGCGGAUCUAAUAGUCACUUUCCUUUCUCCAGAAAGAGAGGAGGAGAAGGAGGUGAACCAAGACUUUCAAGCUGUCUCAUCCAUACAACACUCGUUCAAGUCGCAAGAAAAGAAUGGAAGACUUUGAGCAAGAGAAUGAAGAACUCAGGGAAGAGAUUAAUACUCUCAAAGGUACUGUUGAAAGACUCAAUAGUAUGGUAGAAGCCCUGGUAGUUGCGCAGAAUCGACCAACGCCAGAAGAACCGCAAAGGACUGUGGUUUCCGAGAUUGUUUCUACUCCUAUUCCUCAGUAUACCAUGCCGCCUGAUCGACCUUGGGGCAUGCCGUAUAACUUUACUCCAGAAGGGUACAUACCUCCAGCUUCUGAAGCUCCAAAAGUCACCAUGGAUAUGCGUCCACCGGAGGGUUACAAACCUCUGGAAAUUGAAGUUCCAAGAGCAACGGCAAUAGGUUUCGCACAACAGAAUGCUGAGAUUCCGAGAUCUGCUGUCAUGGCUUCUCCACAGCCGAUUAUGCAUACUUUUCCCCCGCAGGGCGGACAAGUAUAUCAUCACGCUCCAAGUGAGGAUGCUGGCGUGUAUGAAAGAUUGGACGAGUUCCAAGAACAGUUUCUGCAAAUGCAGAAGGAACUCAAGA